UCUGGUGACAAUGGCAAGGAGGUCACACCUGUUCCCAUGCCGAACACAGAAGUUAAGCUCCUUAGCGCCGAUGGUAGUCGGACUAACGUUCCG
rnacentral:rRNA from 1 species